UGAUCCUUCGAUGUCGGCUCUUC
rnacentral:ncRNA from 5 species